rnacentral:tRNA from 1 species
UCCUCAAUAGUCUAUCGGUUAGGAUAUGGCCCUUUCAAGGCUGAGAGCGGGGUUCGAUUCCCCGUUGAGGAA